AGGCGGCGCGGGGGCACCGCCGCCGGCCCCCGUCCGUCCCCCGUCGGAACCGAGCCGUCCGCCAUCGUUGCGCCGCCGGGCUGCGUGAAGCGGCGGCUGACCGCGAGCGGCGGGACCCGCCGGCGUCCGGGAGCGGCUCCUGGCUGAGCCGGGCAGCCCCGAAAGAGAGGGAGCGAUCGCGCGGGUCGAGGCGCGUUCGAGCCCGGCACGGAGUCAGCGAGAGCCUUCGGCUGCUGCCCCGCAGCUGCAGUCCCCAGGUGCCGUUUUCCAUCUGUCCGCCUGUCUGUCCCCGCGCGCAGCUCCCGGAGCUGCGUGAAGCCGACGUGGAGCCGCUUCGAGUUGGCCCCGAGGAGGGAAGCCGCGAGGGGGGAUGAUUGUCAGGAUGGGAGCUGGUUGGGAACGCGGUCAUUCCUCUGUUUACUGCUCUGUGUGUUCAACGAUUAAAUGUUUAGCGUUCGUUUUUCAGCGCUUCUGUCUGCAGCGUCCCGCUGCCCACCGCUGGGUGAGGACAGGGCAGCUCAAAUGGCCGUGUCGUAGGACUGCACCCACCAGCGCCUUUCCUUCCCCCGCAUCCCCUCCCCUCCUCAGCACCGCGUGGGAAAUGGCUGGCGUGGGAUUCUGGCAGAGCUGGGGCGGCUCAGCCUGCAGAAGAGGAGGCUCGGGGGAUCCCGGGCACGGCCAUCAGUCCCCGCAGGGAGGUGCGGAGAGGACGGAACCAGGCUGCGCCCGGCGGUGCCCAGCAGCAGUGCCGGAGGCUCACGCUGCAGCACAGCAGGUUUCCCUGCGUGCCAGCGCUGAGCCCCCAGCUCUGGUCAGCGCCGUUGGACAUUUUUGCCAAUGAUCACGAUGCAGGAGAUGAGCGCAUCCUCGCGAAAUGCACCGGGAAUCCUAAGGCACGAGGUGCUGCUGGCACUCCUGAGACGGUGGCAGUUCGGCCCAGUACCUCAAGGUGGCAGCAGGACCCCCAACAACAACGGAAACGUCGGCUCCCCAGAGCCCCGUGUAUGGCUGUGAGAAUGAUGGAGGGCCAGUUGGGUUAAAGCCUCCUGAGAUCAUACGAAUGGUAAAUCCCGCUUGACAAACGUGAUGUCAUUCUCUGACAAGGUGACCCGCUUAGUGGAUGAAGGUGAGGCUGUUGAUUUGGUCUACCUGGACUGCAGUAAGGCCUGUGACACUGUCCCCCACAGCAUCCUCGUGGAGAAGCUGGCUGCCCAUGGUUUGGAUGGGCGUACGCUCUGCUGGGUGAAACACUGUCUGGAUGGCCAGGCCCAAAGAGUUGUGGUCAAUGGAGCUGAACCCAGCUGGCGGCCAGUCACGAGUGGUGUCCCCCACGGCUCAGUGCGGGGACCACUCGUAUUUAACGUCUUUAUCAAUAAUCUUGAUGAGGGGAUUGAGUUCAUCCUCAGUAAGUUUGCAGAUGACACCAAGCUGGGAGGGAGUGUUGAUCUGCCGGAGGGGAGAAAGGCACUGCAGAGGGACCUGGACAGAUUGGUCAGUUGGCUGAGGCAAACUGUAUGAGUUUCAAUAGGGCUGAGUGUCGGGUCCUGGGGGCUGGUCUCUUCUCACCGCUGACAGGACGAGGGG